AGAGGGCAUGCCUGUUCGAGCGUCA
rnacentral:rRNA from 5 species